UUUUAUCUCACAAUUCAAUGCCGAAACAAUACAGGUGGAGGGGUUAAAUAAUGAGAUAGUAUGUGAAGCAUUGAAGAAAGGAAACACACAACGUCAAGUUCAUGGACUCCUUAAUAAAAAAUCUAGCCGCAAUGUAUCAACAGCUAAUAGACAAAGCCCAAAAGUAUAUCAGGCUGGACAAUGAAGUCCAAGCACUACGAGAAAAUAAAAGGAUGAACCAAAAGUAAAAUCAAAAGCCGAAGUGGCAAGGACAUGAAG
rnacentral:lncRNA from 1 species